GUUGAACCUUUUCUUCCGGGAAAGGGGGAGUCAUCAGUGAGAUACCACUCUUGGUAAGCUAGAGCGCUCAUUUUUAACCGUUAUCCGGUAAAAAGACAGUUUCAGGCGGGCAGUUUGACUGGGGCAGUCACCUCCCAAAAGGUAAUGGAGGUGUACAAAGGUUCUCUCAGGCUGGACGGAAAUCAGCCAUAGAGUGUAAAAGCAUAAGAGAGCUUGACUGCGAGACGGACAUGUCAAGCAGAGACGAAAGUCGGUUUUAGUGAUCCGACGGUGCUGAGUGGAAAGGCCGUCGCUCAACGGAUAAAAGUUACUCUAGGGAUA
rnacentral:rRNA from 1 species